rnacentral:rRNA from 1 species
UACGUAGGGACCAAGCGUUGUUCGGAUUUACUGGGCGUAAAGGGCGCGUAGGCGGCAAUUCAAGUCAGUUGUGAAAUCUCCGAGCUUAACUCGGAACGGUCAACUGAUACUGUUUUGCUAGAGUGCAGAAGGGGCAACCGGAAUUCUCGGUGUAGCGGUGAAAUGCGUAGAUAUCGAGAGGAACACCUGCGGCGAAGGCGGGUUGCUGGGCUGACACUGACGCUGAGGCGCGAAAGCUAGGGGAGCGAACGGG